rnacentral:rRNA from 1 species
AGAGUUUGAUCAUGGCUCAGGAUGAACGCUAGCUACAGGCUUAACACAUGCAAGUCGAGGGGCAGCAUUGGAGUAGCAAUACUCAGAUGGCGACCGGCGCACGGGUGAGUAACACGUAUCCAACCUGCCGCUUACUCGGGGAUAGCCUUUCGAAAGAAAGAUUAAUACCCGAUGGUAUAAAGAGUUCGCAUGUUCUCUUUAUUAAAGAAUUUCGGUAAGCGAUGGGGAUGCGUUCCAUUAGAUAGUUGGCGGGGUAACGGCCCACCAAGUCUACGAUGGAUAGGGGUUCUGAGAGGAAGGUCCCCCACAUUGGAACUGAGACACGGUCCAAACUCCUACGGGAGGCAGCAGUGAGGAAUAUUGGUCAAUGGACGAGAGUCUGAACCAGCCAAAGUAGCGUGAAGGAUGACUGCCCUAUGGGUUGUAAACUUCUUUUAUAAGGGAAUAAAGUGAGGGACGUGUCCCUUUUUGUAUGUACCUUAUGAAUAAGGAUCGGCUAACUCCGUGCCAGCCGCGGC